rnacentral:pre_miRNA from 2 species
UCUUAUGAAUGAACAAAAGUGGUUUCUUGAGUUGGAAUCUACUCCUGGUGAAGAUGCUGUGAA